rnacentral:lncRNA from 10 species
CUGCUGCCUUGCAGUUUGAUCUCAGACUGCUGUGCUAGCAGUCAGCGAGACUCCGUGGGCGUAGGACCCUCCGAGCCAGGUGCGGGAUAUAAUCUCGUGGUGCGCCGUUUUUUAAGCCCGUCGGAAAAGCGCAGUAUUCAGGUGAGAGUGACCCGAUUUUCCAGGUGCCGUCCGUCACCCCUUUCUUUGACUUGGAAAGGGAACUCCUUGACCCCUUGUGCUUCCCAAGCGAGGCAAUGCCUCGCCCUUCUUCGGCUCGCGCACGGUGCGCGCACCCACUGACCUGCGCCCACUGUCUGGCACUCCCUAGAGAAAUGAACCCGGUACCUCAGAUGGAAAUGCAGAAAUCACUGUCUUCUGCGUCGCUCACGCUGGGAGCUGUCGACCGGAGCUGUUCCUAUUCGGCCAUCCUGGCUCCCCAUCAGUGGUGUCUUUCAUUGGGCCAUCCAUGGAGGGCUGGAUGGUGUCCUCACUCUCCCAUCACACAGCUCUUCUGAUGAUGUUUUUGCUUGUCUUUCUGGAAGUUCGCUCUGAUCCAAAAUUACAUCUGCAAGGGGCAGCUGAAGUCCAUCAGUUCUGUGAAGUCUUCUGGGAGUUGCCUCAGCCUAGAGAUCUCUUCCUCCAUUUCUCCAAAUAUUUCAGUUAGCUCUAAAUGAACAAUUAGCAUCUCCUAAUUGUGCAACUAUUUAAUUUUGGUUUCCUCAACCAAGGAGUUAAUCCCUUUCUGAGGGCAGGUACUGUCAACUUCUUUUGAUUUUUCUACACUGCAUGUGGCCAUCCCAGAUAACUCACUAACAAUAAAUUCUUGAUGACAUGACUCUACAUGGUAAGACGGCACUACUCACUUGCCAAGAGCCAAACAGAUAUUUUGGAAUCAUUUCCCAGAUAGUGAUAAAAAAUGGGCACAGACCAUUUGUAAUCUUUCAUCCCAUCUUCCUUUUGACUAGUGUCAUCCCUGUAAACCAUGAGUGAUCAGGAUUACAUCUCUACAUUCAGCAGGAGUAGAAUAGAAUUUCCAUUUGCACACAAAACUGACUCACUGAGAGCAAUUUAGUGAUCUCAGUAGAUGGGCCUGCUGCAUGGAAAGGCAGCCAACAGAUGGGGAGUGUCCCUAUCUUAGCCAGAGGAGGGGAAAGUAUGGGAUUCAAUCUGUUUCUUUAAAAGCUGAAGGAUAAACUGAAGAUGAUGUUCAUAAAAACUGUAUUUCCAUUGUUAAGGAGAAAAAUAGAUAGGUAAGCUCAGCCCUCUUUUGAUAAAAGUUGAACAGAGAGGUGAAAAAGGGAAUCCAUUUGUUUAUGCACUUAUCCUAAAGAGAACAUUGAAAGUCAAGGGGGUAUGUCCAGUGGUUUGCAAAGUGGUGUCUCCAGGGGACAUUUACAGUCAAUGUCAUCUACAGAAAGUUGCUGUCUUUGCUAUAGUGAAGGGCAAAUCAUCUCCCAAUUGCGCUGCUUUUCAAGAUUCCAUGAGGAGCUCUACUCUUGAAAAUUUCUGAAUCAAAAUAGAAUCUUAAGGAGUCUAAUUCUAAAUACAAACUUCAUGUGUAAGAUUCUCGCCAUGGCUGUAUGGCAGGUUUUUAAAGAAAGUAUGAGAAUGGUGUAUUUUAUCCAAGUGCUUGUUGCUGUUUUGCUCACUGGUGUCCUAAGCACCUAGAAAAGUCCUUGGCAGUUUUUAGGUGCACAAUAAGUAUUUAAUUUUAUUAUUCCUAAAUUAUUGGUUCGAUGAUUGGGUGUAUACAAGUGCAUAUGUGGAUAUGUGCAUUUGAAUGGAGAGAAAGAAAAAGUACAUGCUUACUCUCUGUGCUAUAAUGUCUCAAAUAUUAAAUCAUGACAUAUGAUAAUAAUGGUCAUUUUUAAGUUACAAAGUUCUUUCACCAUUCAUUCAUUCAGUUGUUAUUUAUUGGGUGCCAAAUUAUGUACCAGGCAGUGUGGUGGGAUACCAGGGAUACAGACAUGCGCCUGCCUGUAUAUGUUUACAAAUCUAGGUGGAAAAAAUAGGUAAAUAAAUA